AAGUCUUGAAAUUUGGAACACUCAAAAAUGGCACAUUGGUGGGCGCCAAAAUCACUCUGUGAUCUCUUGUUAACCCUUAGCCUGCUAAAUUUCUGAAAUGGACUAUGCCAUCAUUCAAUUUGGGCAAUACCAUUUAUUAAUCGAACAGGUGUUCACUGAAAAUUUACUGACUGAAUAGCAAACAGUGCAAAACCAUGAUCAGCCUGCUGAUCUUGGUCUGCACUGGUCGCAAAGGCAAAACCACUUGCCGCCAGCAGGCUAAAGGUUAAUAAACUGGGAAAGAAACAUAUCUGUAAAAAUGAUGGAUUUAGUUGAUUGUGAUGUUAAACAAAUAUGCAUGUAGCGUAUAGAGUGACAUAUAGCCAAAGUACUUCUUUAGAAGGUGGUAGUCUAGUUUCAUAGACCACAACCUGUUUAUUCUUUGCUUAUUUCUUUAUUCUCGUAGCCAAAUCGUACCGGUAAUUGUAAAGAUUUUUUUUUAUUGAAAAUAGAAAAUUAUUUUAAUAUUUUUCAUUGUAAAAUUUGUAAGUAAUGUCUUGUCAAUGUAUAAAAAAUAUUUUGUGAUUUAAACAACAUACACAAAUAUAUACAGAAGUACAUAGCAACUAUAUGAAGAGAGACAAUAUGAUAUCACUGACAUAAUAUUAUACAGUUGAAUCAAAUACAUAUGAGCCACGCCAUGAGAAAACCAACAUAGUGGGUUUGCAACCAGCAUGGAUCCAGACCAGCCUGCGCAUCCACGCAGUCUGGUCAGGAUCCGUGCUGUUCGCUAACAGUUUCUGUAAUUGCAAUAGGCUUUGAAGGCAAGCAGCAUGGAUCCUGACCAGACUGCGGGGAUGUACAGGCUGGUCUAGAUCCAUGCUGGGCGCAAACUCUCUAUGUUUGUUUUCUCAUGGCACAGCUCAAAUUUUUGUAUGAAACAAUUAUUGGAACAGUGAAAAGAAUAUACAUGUGUAAUUCAGGCUUCGGGCAUAUACAUAGUGUGCCAGUCUGAAUAUUUUUUUGUGGAACAGCUUGUCACUUUGAACAAAGUAGGAAAUAUGGAAAUGUGAUAUAAUAUAAGCAUGAUUAAUUUGUUGAGAGGCUUAUUUUUAAUAAAACAUAUUUCAUAG